GACACUUUAGAGAUGAUUGCUUCUCCAGGCUUCGUGACUGUGGUACUCUUGCUGCUUGGACAAACCCAUGGAGACUCAGUGACCCAGACAGAAGGCCCAGUGACCCUCUCUGAAGAGGAGUCCCUGAUUAUUAAUUGUACUUAUUCAACAACAGGGUCCCCUACUCUUUUCUGGUAUGUCCAGUAUCCUGGAGAAGGUCUGCAGCUCCUCCUGAAAGGUGUGAGGGACAAUGAAAAGACCAGUCACAAAGGUUUUGAAGCCAUCCUACAAAAGAAUUCCCAAACUUUCCACUUGGAGAAGUCCUCAGUGCAAGCGUCAGAUUCAGCCGUGUACUACUGUGCCAUGAUUGACACAGUGACAGGGACUGCAGGGGGAGCUGAGCACAAACUCUGA